AUACGGAGGAUCCGAGCGUUAUCCGGAUUUAUUGGGUUUAAAGGGUGCGCAGGCGGGAGAUUAAGUCGGCGGUGAAAUUUUGCGGCUCAACCUGAAAACGGCCUUCGAAACUGGUUUCCUUGUGUGUAGAUGAAGGAGGCGGAAUUUGUGGGGUAGCGGUGAAAUGCAUAGAUAUCACGAGGAACUCCGAUUGUGCAGGCAGCUUACUAAACUACUACUGACGCUCAGGCACGAAGGCGUGGGGAUCAAACAGGAUUAGAUACCCUGGUAGUCCACGCAGUAAACGAUGAUUACUAGCUGUUUGCGAUACAAUGUAAGCGGCUGAGCGAAAGCGUUAAGUAAUCCACCUGGGGAGUACGUUCGCAAGAAUGAAACUCAAAGGAAUUGACGGGG
rnacentral:rRNA from 1 species